GCUUUGGAGUUUGGAGUUUGGUAGGUGCCCAGUCCUUGGCUGGUGCUUCAAGUGCUCUUCAUUACCUACUUCGAACUACUUAUGGCCAACAAUGAAGAGGAAAGUGUGUGGCAUAUGCAGGUGCCAUGAUGAGGAAGGCAGCUUCAUACAAUGUUCGGGCAGGAAGACUGACACAUGGCGUCCUAAGCCACCUUAUACACAACCCGAACAAUAUAUUUUUAUCAUUUUCUAUGUUUUUACGCAUUUUUGCUUUUCGGUUGAUAUAUAUGUCACUAAUGGGCUGUGAGUCAUUAAUGGGUGGUUGGUACUUAACCUGCACCACCCAAUCCAUGCAUUUGCCACAAAGUUCAAAUAUUGAAUUUUGAAGAUGUAAUAAAAAUAUACAAUCUCAUAAAAAUUCAUCAGCGGGAGCCAAAUGUUGGAAUGUGAAAGCUUUCUAUGGCAAAUAAAGGUUCGAGGACCUAAAUUUUUAGUCAUGGGGAGACUUGUGAGGAAGAGAUCCGAAUUCCAUUGUAAACAGUCUGAAUCAGGACAGAUAUCGUAGAUUCAUCUUUGAGUCCCAUUAUUAAGACUCCGAAGUUUCAUUUUCCUCUUA